GAGUUUGAUCCUGGCUCAGAUUGAACGCUGGCGGCAGGCCUAACACAUGCAAGUCGAGCGGAUGACGGGAGCUUGCUCCUUGAUUCAGCGGCGGACGGGUGAGUAAUGCCUAGGAAUCUGCCUGGUAGUGGGGGACAACGUUUCGAAAGGAACGCUAAUACCGCAUACGUCCUACGGGAGAAAGCAGGGGACCUUCGGGCCUUGCGCUAUCAGAUGAGCCUAGGUCGGAUUAGCUAGUUGGUGGGGUAAUGGCUCACCAAGGCGACGAUCCGUAACUGGUCUGAGAGGAUGAUCAGUCACACUGGAACUGAGACACGGUCCAGACUCCUACGGGAGGCAGCAGUGGGGAAUAUUGGACAAUGGGGGAAACCCUGAUCCAGCAACGCCGCGUGAGUGAUGAAGGCCUUC
rnacentral:rRNA from 1 species